CCGAGAGCGGCUCGCGGUUGCCGUGGGAACCUCGCCGGGGCCAGGCGCUCGGCGCACGACUCUGGGUACCGGGCACCGGGCCUGAGCACCCUCGCGGUGACAGCAGCGUUUUGGAUUUCUAAAAGACACCUGUCGCCAGCCGCGAAGGUGGGGGCUUCGUGACCUGGGUUAUCAGUCCUUUUCCUUUUAAUUAAAUUGUGCCUUAUAAACAGCAGGACAUUCGUGCUCCUGGAAUCUUUGCGUAUAUGCGAACCCCGUCACCACCACCCGGAUGAAGAUGGGCACUUCCCGCGCUCCUGAAGUCCUCCGCCUCCGGCAUGAGCGCAGGGAGAGAGAGGACGCGAGUCCCGGGUCUUCUCCAGGCUCUGCGGCCCCUACCCCUGGCCCUCUUUGGGUGUCAGCUUCCUGUAAAAGGGGAGCAAGGGACCGAGAGGUGCUGCGUAUUCACUCCUUGAAAAGCGCUGGCGCUACUUGCUUUGGCCCUGAAGUUGCCCUGG
rnacentral:lncRNA from 1 species